UGCUAGUUGCACGAGUUGAGACUCGUAGCAGAUAGCUCAGUAACACGUGGCCAAACUACCCUAUGGAUCCGGACAACCUCGGGAAACUGAGGCUAAUCCGGAAUACGACUCUCAGCCUGGAAGUGGCGGGAGUCAGAAACGCCCCGGCGCCAUAGGAUGUGGCUGCGGCCGAUUAGGUAGACGGUGGGGUAACGGCCCACCGUGCCCAUAAUCGGUACGGGUUGUGAGAGCAAGAACCCGGAGACGGUAUCUGAGACAAGAUACCGGGCCCUACGGGGCGCAGCAGGCGCGAAACCUUUACACUGCACGAAAGUGCGAUAAGGGGACUCCAAGUGCGAGGGCAUAUAGUCCUCGCUUUUCACCACCGUAAGGAGGUGGUAGAAUAAGUGCUGGGCAAGACCGGUGCCAGCCGCCGCGGUAAUACCGGCAGCACGAGUGAUGACCGCUCUUAUUGGGCCUAAAGCGUCCGUAGCUGGCCACGCAAGUCUAUCGGGAAAUCCGCGCGCUCAACGCGCGGGCGUCCGGUGGAAACUGUGUGGCUUGGGACCGGAAGAUCCAGAGGGUACGUCUGGGGUAGGAGUGAAAUCCCGUAAUCCUGGACGGACCACCGGUGGCGAAAGCGCUCUGGAAAGACGGAUCCGACGGUGAGGGACGAAAGCUCGGGUCACGAACCGGAUUAGAUACCCGGGUAGUCCGAGCUGUAAACGAUGUCUGCUAGAUGUGCCACAGGCUACGAGCCUGUGGUGUGUCGUAGGGAAGCCGUGAAGCAGACCGCCUGGGAAGUACGUCCGCAAGGAUGAAACUUAA
rnacentral:rRNA from 1 species